GGCGAACGGGUGCGUAACACGUGAGCGACCUGCCGAUCCGCGGGGGAUAGCCUGGCCCAACGUGCCUGGGUAAUACCGCAUACUGCUCCCUGCCCGGGCAUCCUGGCUGGGUGAGGACAACCUCCGGGGCGUAUCGAGGGGCUCGCUGGCCUAUCAGUCUAGUUGGCGGGGUAACGGCCCACCAAUGGCGGCGACGGGUAGCUGGCCUGAUAGGGUGGCCAGCCACAUUGGGACUGAGAGACGGCCCAGACUCCUACGGGAGGCAGCAGUGGGGAAUCUUGCGCAAUGGCCGCAAGGCUGACGCAGCGACGCCUGCGUGCGGGCAGGACGCCCCUCGGGGGUGUAAACCUGCUGUUGCCCUGGGACGGAACCGGUCUAUUCGUAUACCCUGAGCGGGUACCGGGUGAAGGAAGGCAUCCGGCUUAACUCCGUGCCAGCCGCCGCGG
rnacentral:rRNA from 1 species